UAGUAUUAGUCUUGUAUGUACCAUUCAUUAAGCUAGCACGUGCAAAGUGUGUGUAGAUGAGUGAGUGGAAUCAGACUCCACGCUCCUUCUUCCACGUUUUCUCAGACUCACGCUUCUCUAGCUUCUGACUCACGCUUUUCUCAAGUUUGCGGUUCCAGGCUCCACGCUCGGUAUCGUCUUCUUCCAGGUUUGUCUAUCUAUCUAGCUUCUUCUCUUCCAAAUCCAACCACAAGUACACAGCUGCUAAUCAAAACCAUACCCACAAGAGAAGAGCCACAUCCAAUCCAGCUCGGCGGCGCUUCUUCUCUUCCAAUCCAACUCGGCGGCGCCACCCACAAUCUUCAGGUGACCAAAGAUUGGAUCUUGCCAUGCUCCAAGUUAAAAGUAUAUUAGAACAUCGAAGGUCUCUAAUGUGGGUUCAUCAACCCCACCCCACAUAACGGAAAUGGGUAAUAUCAUGUGUAUCACACGAGCCUUCCUGGGGCUAUUGCUCGAACCAUUCCUCUUUAGGUGCUGGGACAAGGACUCCUACUAUCAAGCCAAGCCACACCCCGUAUGAUGAACAAAGAUAAAUCUAAAAGUUCAGAGAAAACUGCUGCUAAUGAAGAAAACGAGGCGGGGGAGAAAUUUCCAAUGUCUCACUUGAGGAACAUGCUGAGCUGAGUACAGAUGAUAUUAGUGAUGAGGAAGACAGGGAUCUAGGUUUGAAUUAAGGUGUGUGAACUCCCAAUUCCCAACAACAACAUGUACUAAUGUAUGUGGU